rnacentral:pre_miRNA from 1 species
UCAUUCGAAAUUUUGCUCAAAUCCAUUUUGUUAAUAAUAAUUUUCGAUGGUGAGCAAAGCUUCAAAUGAGA